AAUAGAUACCCCGGUAGUCCACGCCGUAAACGAUGUCGACUUGGAGGUUGUGCCCUUGAGGCGUGGCUUCCGGAGCUAACGCGUUAAGUCGACCGCCUGGGGAGUACGGCCGCAAGGUUAAAACUCAAAUGAAUUGACGGGGGCCCGCACAAGCGGUGGAGCAUGUGGUUUAAUUCGAUGCAACGCGAAGAACCUUACCUACUCUUGACAUCCAGAGAACUUGCCAGAGAUGGCUUGGUGCCUUCGGGAACUCUGAGACAGGUGCUGCAUGGCUGUCGUCAGCUCGUGUUGUGAAAUGUUGGGUUAAGUCCCGCAACGAGCGCAACCCUUAUCCUUUGUUGCCAGCGGUUAGGCCGGGAACUCAAAGGAGACUGCCAGUGAUAAACUGGAGGAAGGUGGGGAUGACGUCAAGUCAUCAUGGCCCUUACGAGUAGGGCUACACACGUGCUACAAUGGCGCAUCAAAGAGAAGCGACCUCGCGAGAGCAAGCGGACCUCAUAAAGUGCGUCGUAGUCCGGA
rnacentral:rRNA from 1 species